CCUACGGGUGACAGCAGUGAGGGAUAUUGCACAAUGGACGGAACUCUGAAGCAGCCACGCCGCGUGCGGGAAGACGUAUUUCUGAGUGUAAAGCUGUAUCAGCACGGAAGAAAAUGACGGUACCUGACUCAGAAGCCCCGGAUAACUACGUGCCGGCAGCCGCGAUACUACGGAGGGAGCGAGCGUUAUCCGGAUUUACUGGGUGUAGAGGGAGCGUAGACGGCUGGUCAAGUCUGAAGUGAAAGCCCGGGGCUUAACUCCGGAACGGCUUUUGAAACUGAGCAGCUAGAGUGCUGGAGAGGUAAGCGGAAUGCAUGGUGUAGCGGUGAAAUGCGUAGAGAUUAUGAGGAACACCAGUGGCGAAGGCAGCUUACUAGACAAUAACUGACGUUGAGGCUCGAAAGCGUGGGGAGCAAACAGGAUUAGAUACCCUAGUAGUC
rnacentral:rRNA from 1 species